ACAGGUGCUGCACGGCUGUCGUCAGCUCGUGUCGUGAGAUGUUGGGUUAAGUCCCGCAACGAGCGCAACCCUCGUCGUUAGUUGCUAACAGUUCGGCUGAGCACUCUAGCGAGACUGCCUUCGCAAGGAGGAGGAAGGUGAGGACGACGUCAAGUCAUCAUGGCCCUUAUGGCUAGGGCUACACACGUGCUACAAUGGGGCGUACAGAGAGUUGCGAUACCGCGAGGUGGAGCUAAUCUCAUAAAGCGUCUCUCAGUUCGGAUAGAUCUCUGCAACUCGAGAUCUUGAAGCUGGAAUCACUACUAAUCGUAGAUCAGCAAUGCUACGGUGAAUACGUUCCCGGGUCUUGUACUCACCGCCCGUCACACCAUGGGAGUUGAUUUCA
rnacentral:rRNA from 1 species